rnacentral:tRNA from 1 species
GGAUUUGUGCCUGAACACCAUAGGGCCACUUUGAUAGAGUGAACCAUGGGGGUUAAAAUC